rnacentral:misc_RNA from 1 species
GAAGUGCGAUAAGUAGUGUGAAUUGCAGAUCCGUGAAUCAUCAAGUGUUUGAACGCAAACUGCGCUCUUGCUGCUGAAGUGAGAGCAUGCCUGUUUGAGUGUCAUUGUUCUCGCCUACAGGCAAUCCCUCCAUGCAUUCUGUGCGUGGGGUGGUGUUGCACUGUGAGAGUGGACGUCAUGCGCCUGCAGUGUGCAUGUCGUCUGAAACACAGGUCGGAGCGGUGCGACAAGCUCGUGCCGGAACCUGCUGCUGCUUCUCCCGCGAGAGAGUGCGUGAGAGAGGAGGGUGCUGGCAACAAAACCCCCCACCCACACACCUCGAUCCCGAGACAGCGGCAGCAGACACACCCCGACUACGGCUUGCAAACAACAACAACAACAUCUAUGACCUCAGAUCAGGCAAGAGUACCCGCUGAAUUUAA